UACGGAGGGUGCUAGCGUUGUUCGGAAUUACUGGGCGUAAAGCGCACGUAGGCGGCUAUUCAAGUCAGAGGUGAAAGCCCGGGGCUCAACCCCGGAACUGCCUUUGAAACUAGGUAGCUAGAAUCUUGGAGAGGUCAGUGGAAUUCCGAGUGUAGAGGUGAAAUUCGUAGAUAUUCGGAAGAACACCAGUGGCGAAGGCGACUGACUGGACAAGUAUUGACGCUGAGGUGCGAAAGCGUGGGGAGCAAACAGG
rnacentral:rRNA from 1 species